UACGCAGGGGGCUAGCGUUGCUCGGAAUUACUGGGCGUAAAGGGUGCGUAGGCGGGUCUUUAAGUCAGAGGUGAAAUCCUGGAGCUCAACUCCAGAACUGCCUUUGAUACUGAGGAUCUUGAGUUCGGGAGAGGUGAGUGGAACUGCGAGUGUAGAGGUGAAAUUCGUAGAUAUUCGCAAGAACACCAGUGGCGAAGGCGGCUCACUGGCCCGAUACUGACGCUGAGGCACGAAAGCGUGGGGAGCAAACAGG
rnacentral:rRNA from 1 species